GGGUACCGUGCAGAAGGUCGUGGUCCUUCCCACCAACAGCUCUGCCAGCGGGGAGCUCAUUCUGGAGGAGCUGGAAGUCUUCAAGAACCAUGUUCCCAUAACAACAAUGAAAAUCUCAUCCAAAAAGCAACAGUUGUACGUGAGCUCCAAUGAGGGGGUUUCCCAGGUGUCUCUGCAUCGCUGCCACAUUUACGGUACGGCCUGUGCAGACUGCUGCCUGGCCAGGGACCCAUACUGUGCCUGGGACGGCCACUCGUGUUCCAGAUUCUACCCGACCGGA